UCUUAUCUAGAGAGGCAGAGGGACUGGCCCUAAGAAGCCCGGCAACCAGAAUUAUAGACGUAUAAUUCAAAGGUGCUAAUUCCUACAAAUUAUUUAUGGGGCUCAUAAAUGAUUUGAAAGAUGAG
rnacentral:ncRNA from 1 species